AACCGCAUAGCUCAACGGAAGAGAGCGCUCGCCUCCUAAGCGAAGGAUCUCAGUUCAAGUCUGAGUGCGGUUACCA
rnacentral:tRNA from 1 species